rnacentral:misc_RNA from 1 species
UGUUAUUUCUGAUCAGUUCUAACUAAAAACUCCUAUUAUCUAGCUGGUGUUUGACUCAUUAUUAAUAAUAACAAGUAAUGCAGUAAAAUAAAAAAAUAAGAAAAACAAGUUUAAUUUUUACUUCGUCAUUCACUCCCCUUAAACUUGUUCAUUCUUUCUGACCAAUUGUCUUCAUUCCUAACUUCUCUCGAAGCUCUUCAAACCGUUGUCUUCCCAAAGGUUUUGUUAACAUGUCAGCCAAUUGAAUUUCAGUAUUCACAUACACUAACUCAAUGUUUCCAGCCUGCACACAAUCACGAAUAAAAUGAUAGCGAGUGUCGAUGUGCUUACUCCUAUCAUGAUAUACUGGAUUUUUAGCAAGGGCUAUGGCUGACUUGUUGUCCACUUUAAGAGUUGCUCUUACUUCUGUAUCUUCAACUGCACUAAUCACUUUGCUUAGCCAAAUCCCUUGACAAGUACCUGCCGUUGCAGCGAUAUAUUCAGCUUCGCAUGACGAAAGCGCUACAACUCUUUGUUUUUGCGAGACCCAAGUUACUGGACUGCUGCCAAGAAAA